AUGAAUGUUCAAUAAGCCAACAAUUUGUUACUUAACCAAUAAGAAGGUGAAACUAAUGGUUUUGAAGAAAACGAAAAGCAAAAGAAUGAAAGGUUUCUAGAAUUACAGAAGAAGUAACCUAUGAAGAUGAAGGCCUUCCAAAUCUGGCAGUGCAUUGUGCAAUGCUUUCCCCAAAAGUAAAAGGUGACUUGCAAAGGAAUAGCAUAUUUUAAACGAAGUGUUCAUCGAAUGGUAAACUCUGGGUGUACAUUUAUCAUUGAUGGAGGGAGCUGUGAAAAAUCUUGCUUUUAAGGAGAUGGUCACGAAGUUGAAUCUAGAGAUGCUUUCACAUCCAAGGCCAUAUCUAAUAGCCUGGUUCAACGAGGGAAGGGAGGUAAUGAUAACACAUUAAUGUCUUGUUCCUUUCUCAAUCGUGCAAAAUUAUAUGGACAAGUUUUAUAUGAUGUAGUGGAAAUGGAGGCUUGUCACAUGCUCUUAGGAAGGCCAUGGCAAUACAAUAAUAAGACUGCGCACCAUAGAGAACACUGCAUUUUACAAAGAUGGAGCCAAAGUAGGAAUUGCCCCAAUAAAGGAAGAAGACUUUACCAAGUCAAAAGUGGAACAUAAGAAUUCAUAUUUAAGAACAUGCUCUUAGGAAGGCCAUGGCAGUACAAUAACAAGACAGCGCACCAUGGAGAAAAGAACAAUAUGCAUUUUACGAAGAUGGAGUCAAAGUUGUAAUUGCCCCAAUAAAGGAAGAAGACAUAACCAAGUCAAAAGUGGAACAUAAGAAUUCAUAUUUGAGGCUAGUGUUUGCUUAAUAAGGAAGUUGUGAAAAAUCAUCAAAUAACGUCAAGCGAAAUGAAGGAAUUGAAUGACCACAUUAAGUUGAAGAAUCAAACAAAGGACAAAGAACAUGCAGAUAAAAGAUCGAGAGUUCAAAACUUCAAAGAGGGUAAUGUGGUGAUGGCCUAUCUAUGUAAACAGUUUCAAAUAGGCA
rnacentral:lncRNA from 1 species